rnacentral:misc_RNA from 1 species
AACCUAGCACACCUGCGGUGUGUACCUGCGGAAGGAUCAUUACAGAGUUGCAAAACUCCCUAAACCAUUGUGAACGUUACCUAAACCGUUGCUUCGGCGGGCGGCCCGGGUCCUUCCCGGCGCCCCUCGGCCCUCGCGGGCGCCCGCCGGAGGUAAACCAAACUAUUGCAUUGUAUGGCCUCUCUGAGUCUUCUGUACUGAAUAAGUCAAAACUUUCAGCAACGGAUCUCAGAUCGGAAG